rnacentral:rRNA from 1 species
CGAGAAAGUGGAGCAAUCCAUGAGUAAAGUGGCGACCGGGUGAGUAACACGUGACUAACCUACCUUCAAGUGGGGGAUAACCUCGGGAAACCGGGGCUAAUACCGCAUAACAUCUUUGGAGUGGAAAUUCUGGAGAUCAAAGGAGCAAUUCGCUGGAAGAGGGGGUCGCGGCUGAUUAGUUAGUUGGCGGGGUAAUGGCCCACCAAGACAGAGAUCGGUAGCCGGCCUGAGAGGGCGCACGGCCACACUGGAACUGAAACACGGUCCAGACUCCUACGGGAGGCAGCAGUGGGGAAUUUUGCGCAAUGGGGGAAACCCUGACGCAGCAACGCCGCGUGGAGGAUGAAGUCCCUUGGGACGUAAACUCCUUUCGACCGGGACGAUAAUGACGGUACCGGUGGAAGAAGCCCCGGCUAACUUCGUGCCAGCAGCCGCGGUAAUACGAGGGGGGCAAGCGUUGUUCGGAAUUAUUGGGCGUAAAGGGCGCGUAGGCGGUGCGGUAAGUCACCUGUGAAAUCUCUGGGCUCAACUCAGAGUCUGCAGGCGAAACUGCCGUGCUGGAGUAUGGGAGAGGUGCGUGGAAUUCCCGGUGUAGCGGUGAAAUGCGAAGAUAUCGGGAGGAACACCUGUGGCGAAAGCGGCGCACUGGACCAUAACUGACGCUGAGGCGCGAAAGCUAGGGGAGCAAACAGGAUUAGAUACCCUGGUAGUCCUAGCCCUAAACGAUGGAUGCUUGGUGUGAUCGGUACCCAAUCCGAUCGUGCCGAAGCUAACGCGAUAAGCAUCCCGCCUGGGGAGUACGGUCGCAA